CGUAGGGUGCGAGCGUUGUCCGGAUUUAUUGGGCGUAAAGAGCUCGUAGGCGGUUUGUCGCGUCGGCCGUGAAAUCUCCACGCUUAACGUGGAGCGUGCGGUCGAUACGGGCAGACUUGAGUUCGGUAGGGGAGACUGGAAUUCCUGGUGUAGCGGUGAAAUGCGCAGAUAUCAGGAGGAACACCGGUGGCGAAGGCGGGUCUCUGGGCCGAUACUGACGCUGAGGAGCGAAAGCGUGGGGAGCGAACAAGAUUAGAUACCCUGGUAGUCCACGCUGUAAACGUUGGGCGCCAGGUGUGGGCGACAUCCACGUUGUCCGUGCCGUAGCUAACGCAUUAAGCGCCCCGCCUGGGGAGUACGGCCGCAAGGCUA
rnacentral:rRNA from 1 species